ACAAAGCAGAUGAUGUUUUAUUACUUGUGGAAUCUGUGAAAAUAUUAAUAUAAACCAAAAACAAUGUUACUUUGAACCACAAAGCGUAAACACUGUUGUCGGUCUUAUGCUGCAAUUUUGCAGGGAAUCUGAUUGCACUUAGGUAGCUUAUGUUACCUUUAAGGAUUCGCAGGGAGCAGAGACAACAGUUCUCUUGACCGCACGUUCAUAUAUACGCAUGUUAUAUGAGGAAGAGACAGCAGUUCUCUUCCGUCGAGUCCUACAAACCAAAGUAAGGCUGCUGUUAAGAAGGUUGAAGAUGCGAUAAGUACCAUGCUUGUCAAGGGUUUCAUUUUAGGAAAGGAUGCAAUAAACAAAACAAAUCUAACCUACUGAUAGUUGAGGAUGGAAACUACAAUGAAGAUUCUAUGGAGCGUGAUGAAAGGCGUCUCACAGAAUUAGGGCCCAUGAAUAAUUUCCCGUGUUUUCGUCUAGGAAAAAUUUGCCAUGGAGCAAAAAUAUCAAGUUGAAGCAGUGUUUCACAAAACGUCAUUUCAUUGGAAGAGCUGAUUGGCAUCAUCGCAUGUUAAGGCAGACUAAUUGUAUAAGGUGAUGUAUUCAAAUCAGAAGAUGCCAAAGUUAUUGAACCUGAGGGUGUGCCAAUCACCAUUCUUUAUCCUGGGUUUAUUUAUGGACCGGGCAAAGUCACUGCAGGAAAUGUUGUUGCAAAUAUGGU